ACUCACGGCCAAGCAAGAGGACGAGCCAGAGGCUUGGAGAAAUCCGGAAGCAAAGUGACAAAAUUGGACAGGGAGUAUGACGAUUUACUCCAUGAUCCAGCACAGAGGAUGAAGAGAGAAUGGAAAUCUAUUCCUUGGAACCAACCGAAGAGAAGAUGAAGAGAGAGAACAACACUACGAAACGGCUCGCGGAAAAUGGCUUUCAACUGUUACGUACUCGUUGGAAAAGUUCUUACUCUAUUUCCAGCUCUAGAACUGAAGAAGAAAUAUGAUCUUUAGGGGGCA